rnacentral:rRNA from 1 species
AACGAACGCUGGCGGCAGGCUUAGCACAUGCAAGUCGAACGGCAGCGGGGGAGAAGCUUGCUUUUCCUGCCGGCGAGUGGCGAACGGGUGAGUAAUACAUCGGAACGUGCCCUGUAGUGGGGGAUAACUAGUCGAAAGAUUAGCUAAUACCGCAUACGACCUGAGGGUGAAAGUGGGGGACCGCAAGGCCUCAUGCUAUAGGAGCGGCCGAUGUCUGAUUAGCUAGUUGGUGGGGUAAAGGCCUACCAAGGCGACGAUCAGUAGCUGGUCUGAGAGGACGAUCAGCCACACUGGGACUGAGACACGGCCCAGACUCCUACGGGAGGCAGCAGUGGGGAAUUUUGGACAAUGGCGAAAGCCUGAUCCAGCAAUGCCGCGUGUGUGAAGAAGGCCUUCGGGUUGUAAAGCACUUUUGUCCGGAAAGAAAUGGCUCUGGUUAAUACCUGGGGUCGAUGACGGUACCGGAAGAAUAAGGACCGGCUAACUACGUGCCAGCCGCCGCCGUAA